rnacentral:rRNA from 1 species
AUGCUUGCCGAAUGGACUAUUGAAAACAUUCGGAUUAUCACCGAGUUGUUUGUCAAGCAAGUGAGAGCUGGAAAUAGGCCAAAUGCUCACUUGACCUCCAAUGCAUAUGAUGAGGUGGUGAGGCAAUUCAAAAUAAGAACAGGGUUGGAGUACACGAAUGAGCAAUUAAAGAACAAAUGGGACAAACUGAGAGGUGAAUAUGGUGUAUUCAACAAACUUAAGUUGAAGGAGACAGGAGCGGGAUGGGACACAGAGCGCAACACUGUGAAACAAGAUGCUGAGUGGUGGAAGAAGGCAAAGAUAGUGAGUUUUCAUCCUCAUGUUGUGCAUACCAUAUCUUUCUUCAUAUUACUUGUUGUUGACAAAGGUUAUCUUGUUUGUAUAUUUACAGGACAUUGCAGGUUGUUACAAGUUUAG